AUUGAACGCUGGCGGCAGGCCUAACACAUGCAAGUCGAGCGGAGCUGCGGACGGGUGAGUAAUGCCUAGGAAUCUGCCUGGUAGUGGGGGAUAACGCCCGGAAACGGGCGCUAAUACCGCAUACUAUCAGGUGCGCCUAGGUCGGAUUAGCUAGUUGGUGGGGUAAAGGCCUACCAAGGCGACGAUCCGUAACUGGUCGGAGAGGAUGAUCAGUCACACUGGAACUGAGAAACGGUCCAGACACCUACGGGAGGCAGCAGUGGGGAAUAUUGGACAAUGGGCGAAAGCCUGAUCCAGCCAUGCCGCGUGGGUGAAGAAGGUCUUCGGAUUGUAAAGCUCUUUAAAUUGGGAGGUGUUACCAGCAGAAGAAGCACCGGCUAACUUCGUGCCAGCAGCCGCAGCAAUAC
rnacentral:rRNA from 1 species